AUCCACAUAUCUCAGUCAGAAGAGCAUGAGUCUCUUAAUCUCAGGGUUGUUGUAGGUUCGAGCCCCACGUUGGGCA